GAUUAACGCUAGCGGAAGGCAUAAUACAUGCAAGUCGAACGGGAUAGAACUUAGCAAUAGGUUCUUGAGAGUGGCGCACGGGUGCGUAACACGUAUGCAACCUACCUUUAACUGGGGGAUAGCCUCUCGAAAGAGAGAUUAAUACCCCAUAGUAUAACUGAAGAGCAUUUUUGGUAUUAAAGAUUUAUCGGUUAAAGAUGGGCAUGCGGCUGAUUAGGUAGUUGGUGAGGUAAUGGCUCACCAAGCCAACGAUCAGUAGGGGGUCUGAGAGGAUGUCCCCCCACACUGGUACUGAGACACGGACCAGACUCCUACGGGAGGCAGCAGUGGGGGAUAUUGCACAAUGGGCGAAAGCCUGAUGCAGCGAUGCCGCGUGGGGGAAGAAGGUUUUCGGAUUGUAAACCCCUGUCUUCGGGGACGAUAAUGACGGUACCUGAAGAAUAAGCAUCGGCUAACUCCGUGCCAGCAGCCGCGGU
rnacentral:rRNA from 1 species